GACGAACGCUGGCGGCGUGCCUAAUACAUGCAAGUCGAGCGAGCUGAACCAGCAGAUUCACUUCGGUGAUGACGCUGGGAACGCGAGCGGCGGAUGGGUGAGUAACACGUGGGUAACCUGCCCUAAAGUGGGGGAUAACAUUUGGAAACAGAUGCUAAUACCGCAUAAAUCUUGGAACCUCAUGGUUCCAAGCUGAAAGAUGGCGUAAGCUAUCGCUUUUGGAUGGACCCGCGGCGUAUUAGCUAGUUGGUGAGGUAAAGGCUCACCAAGGCGAUGAUACGUAGCCGACCUGAGAGGGUGAUCGGCCACAUUGGGACUGAGACACGGCCCAAACUCCUACGGGAGGCAGCAGUAGGGAAUCUUCCACAAUGGACGAAAGUCUGAUGGAGCAACGCCGCGUGAGUGAAGAAGGUUUUCGGAUCGUAAAACUCUGUUGUUGGAGAAGAACGUACGUGAGAGUAACUGUUCACGUAGUGACGGUAUCCAACCAGAAAGCCACGGCUAACUACGUGCCAGCAGCCGCCGUAAAAC
rnacentral:rRNA from 1 species